UGUGCCCUGACUGGAAUUGAACCGUGACCUCCUGGUUCAUAGGUUGACACUCAACCACUGAGCCACAUGAGCCAGGUUCAACUUGUGGUUAUCAAUAUCUUGCACUGCCCCCUCUGGGGGCCUUCUCGGGGGAAACCGAAAUGGCCUGCACUGGUCCAGAAGGACACACAGACACUAAGCAGAACCCUGGGACGCAGACAGUCAUCUGAACCUGACCCAUAACUGCAGGGAACAAGCCAGAUAAGAAAAUGACA